rnacentral:sRNA from 1 species
AAAAAUAUGAUAUAAUAUUAAUGCAGAAAGUUAAGACGGUGGCUUCUUAACGAAAGGGUGGUGAUGCCUAUGAAAAUUGCAUCAAAAUCCAAUGGAAAGGAGCCUAUUAUUGUCAAUUUUUGAAGCAAUUCAACUCAUGAUAGCAUUUGGUACAUUAAUACUAACUCUAAUCAGUAUUGUAA